AAUGGUGGAAGCGUUUUGGUUUGGGCAAAACCGAAAAGAAUCGAGAAUCAACUUUUCACUUCUUUCUCUUUCUCUCUCGCGGUGAUCGAAUAUGCAAUAGAGCUCUCAUCAACGGCGCAUCUCCUUCCCGCCGACGGAUCUCCCCCCGAUUCGAUAACAGAACCACAGAUCUCCUCCCGAGCGUCUCCUCUAGACGGUUUGCUUGUGGAGCAUCUCUUCUGGACGCAUCUCCUCCCGAGCGUCUCCUCUAGACGGAUCUCCUCUCGAUCGUCUCCUCCCGACCUUUAUCGCUGCGAAUCGAAGGUGAGGUGAGGUUCGAUCACGAGGAUUGUAUUAGCAAGGAGAUCAAAGAGAAACAACCAUUUCCUCCACACUUGAAGAUAGGUGGAGGAUGAACGGGCAUCAAGGACACAAUAUGUGGUUCCUGGAUUUCAAGAAAGUGAUAUGGAAAGAUUUUCCGUCAAUAUGUCUUCGCCGGUCGGCAAUACAAUGGAUCGUCGGACGAGCGUUCGCAAUAUACAAACCCAUCAUAAUUUAAAAUAUGAUUUGAUUGAAAAUAUAUGGGUAAAAUUUGGACAUCGUCUAGAUAACAUGUAAUUUAUAAGUUUUUAUGAAUUUAAUAAAAUGUUUGUUUCCAUUUAAUUUUUUUUUUUGUUGUAAUUCUAUUUUGCUUUCAAUUUAAUGUUAAACUUCUCUUUUAUGUUUUAUUUAAAAUGUAUCUUUUAUAUCUAAUCACACAUUAAAAUAAAUGUGUGAAAAUAUGCUAAAGACUUUUUUUGUCCUACCAAUAAUCAACAAAAUUAAAAAAAUCCUUAUGCAUUUGUCCCUAACUAAAAAAUAAUACUAAUUUAUUCUAAGACAAAAUUUUGUCCAACCAAUAAUGUUGCAUGAUGUCCAAGUAGUAAUUCGCAAUUGCGAAGUAGAAAAACAACUCAUGAAAGCGAGAAUUUAAUCACAAAAUUUAGUUUUCGUGAAUGAAAAACAUAAACUUGUUGAGAUAAAAAAAACUUUAGCUUUUUGUAUAUGAAUACAAAAGUUUCAAAGUAACGAUUUUGAGCAUGGCGGCUUGUUACAAGAUAUAUAAUAUAUAUAUAUAUUUUUAUAUAGAGAAUAAAUCAACCUAAUUUCUUAAAUUAAUAUGGAACGAUAAAUUAAAUAAAUGUUAUCUCUCUAUUCUUCUUCACCUUUCUAGAUUACUCUAAAUUCGUCUCAAUUUUCUAGAUCUUUUUUAUCUUUGUAUUUCCAUAAUUUUGAUACGGUAGAUCUUCUUGAUCUCCCAAUAAUU